rnacentral:rRNA from 1 species
CCUACGGGAGACAGCAGUGAGGAAUAUUGGUCAAUGGCCGAGAGGCUGAACCAGCCAAGUCGCGUGAGGGAAGAAUGUCCUAUGGAUUGUAAACCUCUUUUGUCAGGGAGCAAAGUCACCCACGUGUGGGUGUUGGAGAGUACCUGAAGAAAAAGCAUCGGCUAACUCCGUGCCAACAGCCGCGGUAAUACGGAGGAUGCGAGCGUUAUCCGGAUUUAUUGGGUUAAAAGGGUGCGUAGGCGGGUUAUCAAGUCAGCGGUAAAAUCGUGGAGCUCAACUCCAUCCAGCCGUUGAAACUGAUGAUCGUGAGUGGGCGAGAAGCAUGCGGAAUGCGUGGUGUAGCGGUGAAAUGCAUAGAUAUCACGAAGAACUCCGAUUGCGAAGGCAGCAUGCCGGCGCCCGACUGACGCUGAAGCACGAAAGCGUGGGUAUCGAACAGGAUUAGAUACCCGUGUAGUC